AAAUGUAGUAUCCGUGAAGAUACGGAUUACCUGUAGCGGGACGUUAAGACCCUAUGCAGCUUUACUAUAAUCUUGUAUUGUUCAGAGAUAUUUAAGUAUGCAGUAUAGUUAACAGCUUAUGAUAUUUUAACGCCAGUUAAUAGUGGAGGCUUCUUUGAGAGUAGUAAUUCUUUAAGUUUUCUGAACUAAUUUUUUCAAAAACAUUGUAUGAUUGGUAGUUUCACUGGGGCGGUGGCCUCCCAAAAGGUAACGGAGGCGUACAAAGGUAAUUAAAGAUUUUUUAAAGUUUUAGUAUAAUGGCUUAUAAAAAAUUGCUUGACUGUUUAGAUAGACAUAUCUAUCAGGGACGUAAGUCGGUCAUAGUGAUCCAGUAGCGCUGUUUAGUUUUGGCUAUUGCUUAUCGGAUAAAAGUUACGCUAGGGAUAACAGGCUAAUAAUUCCUAAGAGUCCGUAUCGCCGGGAUUGUUUGGCACCUCGAUGUCGGCUUCAUCUUUUCCUGGAUAUGUAGGUAGAUCCAAAAGGGUACGUCUGUUCGACG
rnacentral:rRNA from 1 species